rnacentral:lncRNA from 1 species
UCAGGGAACGAAGCCCUUCUCCAUCGCGACUGCUGCAACUAAGGGAACGAAGCCCUAGAAACGCGAUAUUGCUCCAAGAGAGAAAGCCCUAGAAAAUCAAUUUCCUUCAUCUCAUCAGUUCGAAUCGGUAAGGGCUUGCAAUUUGGUACUUUUGCAGUUUAUUAUACCUUUGGUCUAGUGUAUUGGUCUGGGAAAUCUAUCUUAAGUUGCUUCCUCAACAUUUAACAAUAAACUAUAUAGAUUGCUAUUUUAUUUUUUUUAUUUGCUGGGACUUCUGAAUUUGAAAGAGUCCCUAUUAUUUUUAGUUUUUGUUUACAGAGGUGUUUUCCAACAGAUUGUGGAAAAUGUAACAUUAGUUAAUGAAGCCAAAGACAGAAAAAUUUUCAAACAUGUCUAGUUAACAUUAAAUUCAAGCUGCGAGUUAAUUAAUAUUUGUAUUUUUUUAUGCCUCACAUAAUUAGGAAAAAAUAGGUUAUUGUUCAGUGGACACAAAAAAGGUUAUUGUUCAGUGGACACAUUGUUCAGUGGGCACAUUACAAGUAAAUUUCUGUUUGUCAAGUAAAUCCAGCAAUAUAGCUAUUAUCUAUAAUUUUUUUAAUUGGUGAUUUCAUAAGUUCAAGUAAAUUUAUGUUUGUCCAGGUGUAAAUAUAAUGGAUGACAUGUACAAUGAAUGGGGGACUGUAUUUUGUUGUCUAAUUUGAACUUGUUGCUGGGGGACUGUAUUUUGCUGUCUGUUUAUGGGGACAGUUGUUUGGGGAAGACUGUUAUGGUUUUAUUUUUCUGCUGUAGUUUUCAUUCUCUAUAUAAUGGGGACAGUUCUGUGACUUAUGUUCUGUAUGUUGCUGCAGUUGGUUGACUGCUAUCUAUUUUGGGUUUCAUAUGCAGCUGGGAGUCUGGUGGAAUGACUGUGUGCUGGCUGCUGCCGUUGUGUGUGCAGUGCUAUGUGUUGUGCUGCUGUCUAACCUGAUGAUAAUGUUAGAGUUGUGUGUGCAGUGCUACUGACUGUGUGUGCAGUGCUGCUAUGUGUUAUGGACUAUGUGCUGCUGUUAUGUGCUAUGGACUCUGUGCUGCUAGGUGCUGCUAUGUUUUCUGAUUUUAAACCUUUUACUCUUUUUAGAGUGUUUUUUUAACAUUAGAAUUUAGCAAGACCUUGUCAACAAUUGGAGAAAAGCUAAUGACUGGCAUAUUUUUCCAUUCUUGUACUUUUCAUGUCUCUAGAGUAUUUGACAUUUUCUACAUUUGCUGGACAUGGGCUUUCGUGAAAAUUGUAUGUACUUGUGAUGUAUGCACUUGAUUGGGAAUAAAUCACUUUUUGGUCACU